GGGCGCGUCCGGCUCUGUUCCUUCUUGGUUGUGUCAGGCUUUCUGUGCGCGCGUCGGCGAUGCUCAACGGACGGGUCUGAAGCCGACCGCGGCACCUGUCCGGAAGCCAGAAAGGUGGCUGAACCUUUCCCCAACAUUCACCUGAUCCUCCCAGAUGUAGUUCCAUGCUGUUCCCUGGGCUCCUGCUGUCACCAGAGAACAGAGCUCAGUGCCAGUCCCUCCAGUCCUCUGUGCAGCAGCUGCAGGCCAUCAUGAGGCCUCCUUUCCUCCUCCUUUAGGCUGCACAAACGGACCUCAGUUGUUCCUCAUGUCUUGCCCUCUAGACUCUUCACCAUCUUCAUAGCUUUCUUUUGCACACAUUCUAGUAGUUUCGUGGCCUGCCUAUAUCAUGGUGCCCAAAACUGAACACAGUGCUUGAGGUGAGGCUGCACCACACAGAGCAGAGCAGGACAAUCUCCUCACUUGCCUGGCUGGCAGUGCUGGGCCUGGGACACCCCAGGUACUGUUGGCCCUUCUGGCUACCAGGGCACGCUGCUGUCUCAUCAAACUUGCCAUCAACCAGAACCCCAAAUAGUGAAGUCCAGAAAUCUUCCAGUGCUUCAAAAAUGACUGUUGUUCUUUCAUAGUAGUAUAGUAUAAAAAAGACAAGAUGUGAAGGUUGGAAAGAACACCGAUAUCCUGGUACAAUGGGCAUAUUCAGUAGUUCACUACUGUGGUUUUACAUACUAAACUGAUGGAAAUAUGUUCAAGUGUUUUUCUCCAAAAAUAUUUCUGUUUACAUUUGAUACUUAAUCCCUAACUACAUUGCAGCAACCUCUGUCAGAAAGAUGAAUGAGCAUGACCAAAAGUUUCUUUGCAGUUUGACAGCAGUACUUUAUCAGAAAGCAUUGAUAAAGAGUAAUGGCCUUAUUCAUAAAACAUCGGAUCUGUAAGCUUUACUUUUUUAGAAAUGCUAAUCAGAGAAUCUGAGAUGAAAUCCCUACAAAUAUGCAGCGCAUUCUGGUUAAGUAUGAUAGAAGUGGAUGGCAUACAUAUAUACAUAAUAUCUGAUUGGCAUUUCUGAAGUACUAGAAAAAAAAUUAACUUAGAGCUAUGGAGUGUAGUCAUAAGGAAAUGACCUGGAGCAUUAGGAGAAUACUUUCUGUAUUAAUUUGCUAAAUACUAAUCGGUAAAAUCCUUAAUAGUAGUAGAACUAAGGACAUGAAGUGAUAAACUAUACUUCUCUCUGGUGGUAGUGGAUAUUCAUGCAGUGAAACCAAAAGAUAUCUAAUUCGUUGCUUCAGGAAUUAGUACCAGAAAUGAGAAACUUCUCUUUUAUGUGUUUGUAGCAGUUUGCAGUGAUGUGGUUAAAUUUCCUGAUGGUACAGAAGUAGAGAGUCACUUCAGGAAAAGAUAUGUAGUAGAAUUAGGAAUGUAGAAAAAAAGAGCAUAAAUAAAUUAAUGUGUUUUAUAUAUCUUUGUAAAUUUACAAUGGCGGCUUAACUAGGGAGGAUAAGAAACCACAUCUUACAUAGACAAAAGAUUUAGAAGCCUGGGUAAUAAAAUUUUGGAGCUCAGAGUGCUAAUCUCUUGAAGACAGUAGACAUGAAUGGAGCUAAGCAACAAGCCAACCAACCAACCACAGUGUUGAGAAAAAACAUUCUAGAAAAUUUCUAUUUCAGAUCCUAAUUUGAGUAUGCGUCUAACAGCUCAAUAUUUUUGGUGUUUUUCAAAUUGUGAUAGUUUAAGAAUGAAAAUGAGUUUAAAUUAGUAAACAUUAAAAGAAUCCACUUUCGGUUAAAUUUACUGCAAGAUGUCUAAAGAUCAGCAUAUAUGAAGCUAAAUAGGUCUCAAGUUUUCCUCCCGUGAUCAUACACAAGAACCUUUUCAGAAAUUUUGAAGCAUUUGCUGAAAUGCAGUAGUUUUCACUCUAGUAUUUUAGUGCCAACCUACCCAGCUCCAAGAAAUGGCACAUGAUGGAUAGUUUAGGUUGUAUUCACAAGAACAGAUGGAAACGCUUCAAUUUAUAGUGCAGUUAUUUAAGCAUCAGGUGAGAAUUACGUCAGCCACUAUCCAAGUGGAUUCUCAAAUCCAGAUAGAAUGGGAGAGGAAAAAGACAAAAAUAGAGAGAUUUUCAGAUAUGUUUUGAGCUCUUGGAAUUACAACUGUGUCAUUUUUCAAACAGACCAUGCAGAGGUCUGGGUAAAUGUCAUCUUUGUUGAAGCAAAGACUCAAGACUGAACAAAAAUUGUGAGACCCUCUCAUAGCAAACUAACUGGACUGACAAUAGCAAGUUUUGGUUCCCUCCUUCCCCCCAUAGAGUGAGUCAGCAGAUGGUGGCAAUUAAAUCCAAAUAAAUCUUUUGAGUGUGUGGCUUAAUAGUUACAAAGACAGGUGUGUUUGUGUUGUAGAGACCUAAGAUGUUGGACUCCCAAGAGGCUCCUUGCUUUCAGUUGAUUCGAAAAACUUAACCGUAGCAUAGUCGUAAGAGGUGCCAUUCUGAAGGUUAUCAUUCUUUAACACUGAAUAUGCAAUAAAGGGACCAAAAGUCCUACCUGCAAAUACAAAAAUUGCAUGAAGACUGUUGAUUUCAUCUGAUACUGUAUAGAAAGAGUAAUCCCUAACAACUGUAGUGGAAACAGCAGUGAUGAAAUACUGAUAUAAUUCUGUUAAACCGCUAAUACAAAUAGCACAUUUAAAAAGACAAGUCCUAGUAUUAAUACUAUAUAAAUAAUUGUGAUAAAAAUACAUUUUAGCUUUUGGAAGGAACAUUCUAGAGAAUGCUCACAAAUUAUUUGACUGUGAGCUUUUAAAAAUUAAAAUACAUUUUUCCACAACUUGGAGGAAAAAUUCCUGCCACCUAAUGAGCAAAGUAUAAAUUACAUGAGACACAGCUCAUGGUGUAUGAGCUCUUGACAAGAAAGACAUUGGCACAAGCCCAAACAACAAGAAUAAAAGCUUCUGAAAAUAUUUCAUCUACAUGGCACCACAUUAUUCCCUUAUGCAGUAUCCAUCCACACAAGAAAUAUUAAAAGGAUAGUGCUAUUCCAUGCAUCAACGGCUUUAAAAUAACUUUCUGAAUUAUGUCUCAGCAACAUAACAAAUCACAUUAUCAAUUAGCUCUUAUAACAGGAAUGACAUUCUGUAAUAUAUUUCAGCAUGAAAAGAAUUGCUUAGCUAAAAUUAAUGUAAUCUAAAAAAAUAUGAGGAGAAAAAUCACGUUAAAUGUAUUGAUAAUAUUUCAGCACAGGAACAUAAUUUAGUUAGUAGGCAACUGUCCAGGAAGAAUAACAGGAGUACAUAGCUCAAAAUGACCUGCAGAAAACAGCAACAGGUUUACUAGAAACUGAUAAACAAGUUGUUCCAACAUCAGUCCACAGUGUUUAUGUUCUAAAAUUAAACUGCCUUAAGCAAUCAGAGAACUCUCAUUACCCAUGCUACUCUCUCCAAAGAGAGCUGGUGCUCUCCUCUCUUUGCAGAGGGAUGUGGUAGAACAGAUGCCAAAACGCAGUAGCUCAUGGCUGUGAGUAUUUGUAACCAGGGAAAUUACAGUAGGCUUGGGAAUACUGUAAAACAUCAUAGAAUCAAAGAAACCUUACAGUAGGAAGCAACCUUUGAAGGCCAUCUAAUGCAACCCCCCAGCAAUGAACAGGGAUACCACAGUGACCAGGGCCUUAUCCAGCUUCACCUUGAAAGUCUCUGGGGAUGGGGCAUCAACCACAUCACUGGGCAACCUGUUCCAACGCCUCACCACCCUCACUGUAAAAGACAUUUUCCUUAUGUUUAACCUGAAUCUACCCUCUUCAUGCUUAAUACCAGUUCCCCUUGUUUGGUCACAACAGACCCUGCUACAGAGACUGUCCCCUUCUUUUCUGUAGCUCCCCUUUAGAUACUGUUAGGCCAUUCUCAGGUCACCUCACAGCCUUCACUUCUCCAGGCUGAAGAGCCCUAGCACUCAGCCUGUCCUCAUAGGUACAGCAUUCCAUUCUGUAGAUUAUUUUUGUGGCCUUCCUCUAGACACGCUCCUACAGGUCUAUUUCUCUGCUGUUCUGAGGACUCCUCAUAUGGACACGGUACUUCAGGUGGGGCCCCACCAGUACAGAGCACAGGGGUGAGAUCACCUCCCUCAACCUGCUGGCCAUGCUUCUUUUGAUGCAGCCCAGGAUACAGCUAGUUUCAGGGCUGCGAGGGCACAAUGUUAACUCAACAUCCAGCUUACCAUCCACCAGUACCCCCAGGUCUUUUUUGGCAGGGCUGCACUUAAUCUUUUAAUCUCUCAUCUUGUACUGGUAGCGAGAGUUGCCUCAACCCAGGUACAAGGUCUUGCAUUUCAAUCUGUUGAACCUCAUUAGGUUUGCCUGUGCCCACUAUUCAAGCCUGUCUGGGUCCCUCUGAAUAACAUCCCAUCCCUCUAGUGUGUCAACUGCACACCACAGCUCAGUAUCAUCAACAAAUUUUCUGAGGUCAAGCAUUUGACCCCACUAUCACUAAUGAAGAUAUUAAAGAGUAUUGGCCCCAGCACCAACCCCUAAGGAACAUCACUCAUCAUCCACCUUGUAGCAAUUGGGCAGACCAAUAUAAAGAGAAGGGAUGCUUCAGUAGAGAUGUAAUAACAAAAGAUCAGUACAAUAGAAAAGUACAAUAAAGGAAGGGAAGAAGAUUGCUUACCCAUAUCAGAAGAUUCCAGGUUCACAGGGGAAAGCUCCACCAGAGAGAGAUCUCCAGAAACAGAUCCAUUCCAAGUGGCACUCAGCCCUUACACGGGGUCUAAGAGAGGUGCAGCCAGGCUCCACCCCUUCUGGUCACACAGCUGAAUUGCCUUCACCUGUGCUCCCAGGGCUGACCUGGUCCUUUCUCCAGGUGAUCAAUCAGUGAUUCUGGCCGUGACUCAACAGUUCCCAUACACAUCUCCAUCCAGACUUUGAGCCAUUGACCAUCACUCUCUGGACUUCAUCCUGCAGCCAGUUCUUUGUCCAUCAGACAGUCCACCCAUCAAAUCCAUCUCUCUAAUUUGGAGAGAAGGAUGUUGUGGGGUUCUGUGUCAAAGAUCUUACUGAAGUCCAGACAGAUGACAUCAGUGGCUCCUUCCUUGUCCACUGAUGCAGAGACACCAUCACAAGAGGCCACUAGGUUGGUCAAGUAGGAUUUACCCUUGGUGAAGCCAUGCUGGUUCUCCCAUAUCGCCUCCCUGCCUUCUGUGUGCCUUAGCAUAGCUUCCAGGAGGAUCUACUCCGUGAUCUUCCCCAGCACAGUGGUGACACUGACAGGUUGGUAGUUCCUGGGGUCAUCAUUUUUACUCUUCUAAAAAAUGGGUGUGAUGUUACCUUUUUUCCAGUCACCAGAGACUUUACCUAGUUACCAUGACUUGAGAGUGGCUUGGUGACUACAUCAGCCAAUUCCCCUAGAACUUUGGGAUGUAUCUCAUCAGGACCCAUAUACUUGCGGUUGUUCAGGUUCCUCAGGUGGUCAUGAACCUGAUCUUCACUUACAGUGGGAGGGACACUGCUUCCCCAAUCCCCUCCUACCAAACCAAAUGUUUGAGGGCUGUGUGGCGAGCAGUUAUCAGAGAAGAUAAAAUAUGUUCCUGUGAAUAGUUAAAAGAUUAUUGUUAUAGCGAAUACUCAAGAAAAUAACUAUUCCUUGUGAAUAGUUAAAUCCCAUCCUCUGGGUUUGAGCUAUACUUAAACGACUUUGCAACUUCCUAAGCCAUAUGACUACUACUCUGGCACCCUGUCUGACCUGGACGUUACCCAGGAAUUGGAUGCCAGAGGAGAGCCAAUCAUCCGACAAGAACAUGAAUCUGUAUCUUUAUGUGUUGUGGACUGUAGCAGAAACAUUUCAAGCUUCACGGCUUGAAACAGUGAUUGAGCACCUGGUGGAACGCAGGGCCAACCCAGGGGAGCUCAGGUGCGUGCAAUGCACCUGAGUGACAGGAAGGAGUGAAGCCAGGAUCUACCCCAGACCUCAUUUAAGGGUUGGCAGUGGAGCUGUGCUUAUCUGAGGUCUUCUAUAGGUAAGUAGCUCUUUUUCUCUUGUUUCUGUGUCUAUAGCUGCUGCGUUUGGGCUCGUUCUCAUUUGCUGCAGCUAGUCUCUUUGCCACUCUGCUAUUACUGCUGUAUUUUCCAUCACAGUGUAGCAUUGCAUCAAUAAAAGAACAGUUCAAUGGAUGUAAAGCAAUAAGAAGAACUUUUUAAAAAGUCUUUCUACUAUUAAUUCAUGUUUUCAGCUGCAGAUAGUACACCAGUGAAUGUAUCUGCAUGUUAAUAUGAUCAAGUUAAAAAUGAAGGCAUGUUAUGUUCUCUCAAAUAUUUAUCACACUGUGGAAGAUCUGUUAUUACUCACAUAAAAGGUAGAUACAAUAUUUCUCUGUCAGCAAGAGUGGAAUGUAGGUAGCCUUUUAUGAAAUUAGUAGAUGCCAUUUUCAAAGUAGUCAUAAAAGUUUUUAUUUAAGUUUAAGAAGAGAGGGAAUAAUUUUAAUAAUGUGCCAUUUAAAAUCUUUAUUGUCUAAAACUUAUAAGAAAUAACUUUAUAUGGCUUAAUCCUAUUCUUAAGAAAAUGCAUUAGGUGUUAAUAAUAGUGAUGGUAUAUAAAAUGUAAUAUACACCCUGAAAUCUGAAUCUUGCUAUAUGUUAUUAUGCUGAUUUUUUUAAAAACCUCUCUUAGGUUUUUGGUUUGGUGGCAUUGUCCAUUAGCAUGGGAAAUAGUGGAGUGAUGGCAUUGGUGGACAUGGGAAGGCUGACAGGUGUCAUCUAUCUGGACUUUUGCAAAGCCUUUGAAAGAAUGGCUUUCCGAAAAUAUCUGCGGUUCUACUCAGUCCUCAGAAUUUAUUUUUACUGGAAACUUUUGAAUUAGCUUAAGGAAUGAGAUGAAUGAAUAAGAAGUGUGCUACAGGUGAGGUGUGUAGCUGGCUAUCUCUAACCAUUUGGUUGAUCUUGAUAGUGAAGUAGCAGCUAAACUGCAUAUAACAAUAAGUAUGAUAGUACUUAAUAGUGAAAAACUGUUCUAGAAUGUGGUCACUGAAUUGGAGAACACUGCCAUCUUUUCCAAGCACAGCAAUACUUCCUAAAUUUCACCUCUCAUGGUCUUCCUUUGAUAGCCUGAGUAGCAGAUAGGUGCUUGACUCCUUGCACUGCUUAUGUGACUAGAGUUCUUUUCAUGUCAUUGUUCAUCUGAUCCUCAUCAGUCCUUUGUUUAUGAUGAUUAGGCUUUAAUCACAUAAUCUAAUGUCACUUCUGUGCACAAAUGCAUGCUUUCUCCUGCGCUGCUGCUCAAGACUAGGCUCUAGCUCAGAUGUACAAGGAUAAGGAUUUAUAGGGGUAGAUUGGAGAACCUCUUCAGCUGAGGUAAAUCAUGGAGAUACACUGGCAUUAUGUUUUGCAUGUGGAGUGUCUGUUCUAGCAAAAUGUGAUCAGCUUCAGCACGUUCUAAAUCUUUGUCAUACAGAAGACAGAAAGAGUUUUCAGGUUUUCAGUUACACCAGCUUAACUUUAGGUCCUCAUUACAUGUGCUUUGUGUGGACACUCGACUGUUGAGAGGAAUUUCACGUGUAAGUAGUUCUACAUUCCUGUGCAUUCAAAGACAGGGCACACAUACCAGGUACACACAAAGUUCAUGCAGAAAAAGGCAAUUCCAGCAUUUCACUGCCUUCUGAAGAGAUUUAACAUACAACAACUACUGAGAUGUUUGUAGCCAGAUAUCUGUACCAAGUAUUUAUAAAGUAGAUGUCUUCCUGACAGAAAUGUAUGUGUUGCAUUUUCUGUUCCAGUCAGAGACAGAAUUUAAAGCAGUAGUAUUUCCACAGGAGAAAUCUUAAGUUUGCUCCUUUGUUAUAGUCACGUCCAUGCAAAUGGGAUAGUGUCUAUGGUUGUACCAGUAUACUGGUCUCUGCUGAUUUUAUAGGUUAUUUUUUUCUCCUCUAAUAGAGGCCACUUAUAUUUGUCUUAAAUGACAUUUACUUUUACUCCAUCUGAAAACAUUUAUUUAGCAUUUUUGGGUUUUUGGUGUUGUAAGCACUGACAUUAGAAAUUUAAAUAGUAGGUAUAUUCAAAUAAAUUUACACUGGAGUUCUAUAAGCCUUUGUAUUUUUUCGUCAGUGUGAUUCAAGGGACAUGCCCUACAUCUGUACUCCAUCAAACAGGGUUACAUUGGCCAACAUAAUCUAAUUGUUUGACACUUUUAUAGCAAUUCAUUGAGACUAAAGAGAGAUGACUACAUUAAUAUCUUGAUGCAGCUGGAUAAUAGCUGAGCUAAAACUGAUGUGCCAAAUUACUUCAAGGCUCUUAAAUUCUCUUACAGAUUUUAACUCUUUGUGACAAAGAAAAAGAGGCUUCAAUAUAAAAGCAGUAAAGAGAAAAAAAAUAGUACGAUUUAUAAUACAGAGCAUUAUAAUAAAGGACACUACCAUAAAUUUUCUAAGAAUCUUCACUAAUCAGUUACAGAUUAUAACUCUUAGUAAUUGAGAUGAGAAUUAAUGUUGAUGUUCAUGGUUCUGUUUUCUUGGAUAAUCAUUUUUGCUGAGGUCAAAAUUAAAAAGAAAAGGUUUUAGCCGAUGAGUGUGUAUUUUAUUCUUCUAGCUAGACUGAGAACAAACUUGCCUGCACUGCAUAUAUCUGUAGGAACAGUCAGGCUGGAACAACGACAGGAAAUAUCACGGAGAUUCAAACUACUUAGGCUUGGACAAGGAUCCUAUCAAAGCCUUCCUUCCUUUAACAGUGUAUUUGUGGUGAAGAAAGAUCUCCCUUGUGUGGAGUCAUGGAUUUUUCUGGUAAGAACAAGCUGAAGGAGAACAUCAGAAGUUUUUUAUUUGGGGGGGGUUUUGGUCUGAGCCUGGAGAAACAGUAAAUGGAAGAGAAGAAAGGAAAAAAUUAAAAGCAGGAAUUAAUGAUGCAACUAGAGGUGGGAGCAGUGAGAAAUGGAUUUGUCAAACUUGGUUUGAUUACUUCCUGCUUUUUUUCUUUUGACAAUAGAGAGAUUGUCAGCAAGGACAAAGUCUGGUUACUUGAAAGUGGAAACUGAAGUAAUUAAAUGCAUUAUUUGAAAAAAGGGUAAAUAUAUUUGCAAAAGCAUCAACCUAAUUAUCAUAUGAUGCAAAAGGAUGGAUUAGACAGAUGGUUAAUUUCUAUCUCCUCUACUUGCAGAGCUAUGCUUGAACCAUCCUGCUUCUGAUGAAUGUUUUGUAGAGCUGGUCCUUGAUAGGAAUCCCUGAAUGGCUCCAGGCCCUUUCACUUGGAGCAGUACCGCCUCUAGCACUGCUGUGCACAGUUGCAUGUGAUUUUAGAGGAAAUAAAAUCUGUAUAAGACAUUUGUAUCUUUGAACAUCAGUAGUAUAUUUCUUGGCUAGAGUUUAUGUCGUGUCAUGUCAGAGCAAAGCUAUGACAACCUUUUUGAAGAGCACCAACACAUUCAGUUGCUAGGUACUCACCAAAACCUGCUAGUUGGCAGUGAAGUGUGAUGACACUUUAAAACAUACUUUUCCAACCAUGUCUAGAUUUCAGGCUAUGGAAAAUAGCAUGGAUAGUCCCCUUCUGAACUGCACUGUUUUGUCCAUGAAAAUGCUUCUGACAGUUACUGAUCCUGAAGUGUAAAGUGCCCAUUUUAAAUUCUCAUUAAAAAAAGGCUUUUUUUUUUUUCUUCUGUAUUAAAAUCACUCAGCUUACUUUUGUUACUUGGGCAUAAGAACAGAAUUUUUUCAUCCUGAAAUGCUGGCUUAACUAUAAAUGCAAAGAAGUUGUGGGCAGCCACUGCAGAAGACACUGCAACAAGAAGACAGGAAUUGAAGGAGACUCUAGGCAGCAUUUAAGUACAGGCCUUGGCAGUAGAUACCCAUACAUGAGCGCAAGUGGCCCGCUAUAUAGCUUGAGCAUACGCAGUGACAUUAAUACACAUGGCCUUUAGCAAUACCUACUGGAUGUAAUGUUUCUAAGAGCUCACUCAAAUAGAAAUAUUAAAGAGUGUAACGGUCUCAGUGGAUCUUCAUGUGCAAACUAGAAAGUUCAACCUUGUCCCAGUGAAGGGUUGAUUACUGUACUCUUAGAAGGGCAAAUCUUACCACAGACCAAACCUGGACAGUAUGCCAUGAUCUACACUGAGAAGAUUCUGUUUUGCCACAGAUAGUUUCCCAGAAUCAGGAAGGGCAUGAUGAGUGCUCUCUUUUUUUCUAAUUUCUAUUCUUUAUUCAGUAACUAGCAGUUAGCCAACCUUCAGCACUGGUGUUUCUUACAGAUAACCCAAAGGGGCCAGUACCACUUCAGUGCAGAAUAGUAGCUCUUACUAUAGCUGUAAUUUAUAUUCAAAAGAAUACAAGUGCUAUUUCCAUUGUAAACAAAUCAAUGGAUUAUUGCUGAUACUUUUAACCAAAACCAAAAAUUAAUUAUCCCCUAAUACCAUCAAAGAUGGUACAGGAGGGACAGUUACUUCGUCUAGGUUGCAUAAUUAAAAUGUAAUAAGUGAUCACAAAACAGAAGAAUGGCAUAGUGUUGCACUAGCUAAUUUUGAAAAACACAAACAUCUUACAGCUUCAUCUAGGAAAUUGAUGUAAUUUCUAGGCAUGCUCUUGGUGGUAAAAUGAAAAUUCAAGGACAUGAGAAGCAGUUUAUUGAAACAAUGUGAGUACACUGUUUUCAGCUGCAGUCAUACAUUCCAGUCAUGAAAUCAUUAAGAUCAUUAACAGCAUUCAUGGCAUAACUUAAACAGUGUUUAUGGUAAAACCUUUGUGCCCUGUACCUAAUGCAUGUGGUGUCUCUUCAAUGACUAUCAUACUAAAAAUGAAACCCCAAAAACAACCACCAAAAACAAAAAAACACCACCCCAUGCACCCAUUUUUAUUGUAAUUCUAAUUUUUGUUAUUGUUACAUUGAAAAACCUUCUACAAACUUUAUAACACUUUCUAUCAAGGCUAAUAUUGUUUUAUUGGACUACGAGCUAUAUAUCAAGAUGUAAACAUGUUUUAAAAAACCACUCUGACUAGCAGAAAGGAAAAAAGUGUCCUCCUGAAAUGAUACCGAGGAUAUUUUAACAUAAAAACUCCCAAAGUUUUUAUUGUUCCUUGUUGUAUCAAAGAUAGGAACCUUUAGUAGCUAAAAUAUCAUGUUUAAGACACAGAAUAUUAAUGCUAGAACAUCAGUAGGCAUCUACAAAAAAAAGUUUGUAUGUGCAGAUGGUAAUUACUAAUUCAUUGCUCAAGAAAAUGGAUUUUCCCACAAUUAUGGGAAUUUUCAUAAUAAUAAACCAAGCAAAAUCUUGCCCUUGAUAGAAAAUACUUGCAGGGAAUUGGGGAUGGAGGAAAUAAAAAGAGGAGUUAUGGACAAUGAGAACUGCUGGUACUGUGCUCUAUCAGAAUGAUUAAUUAGUGGUUGUUCAGUGUAGGCUUUAUUUGAUGGAAAGAAAACAUUUGUGAUGCUUCCAUGGUCCUAUUAAGUCUAAUUAAUUUCUUCUCCACAUGAAAGAAGAAUUAAUUAAAUUCUAAUAUUAAUUUCCUGUUUUCCUAGAUGCGCUAAUUUUUAUAUCAUUCUGUUGCAGCCUACAUUUUCAGGUCUAUGCUUGCUGCACGUCAAAGCGUUUGUCUAACAGAAAGAUAAGAUGAUAUAAGACAACUGUAAAUGUAAACUAUUGAAGUGUUCUAGAGGAACUGGUGUGAAAAGAGUGCAAUUAAAUAUUAGCAGUGGUAGCUAGGCCAUGAGUUACAUGUAGAAAUGGAUACGAGCUGUUUUGGCAUAAGCUCUGAACACGAGAUAGAGCUUCACACAAGGAACGCAGGUGUACAUGAUGAGCGCUUACAUGUCAUUUAGAUCUUGCUCAGGUGUUUUUAAUGUUUGAUUACAUGAUGAACUGAAUGAGUGCUAGCUUCUAUUUCUCUUAUAUGCUUUCUUUGCUUCAAUUUCUUCUGCUUUGCUUCUUACUUCCCUUGACAAUGAAAAAAUAUCUCUUCAGCAAGCUGUUGGGGGACACCACCACUCCUAACCACCAUCUCAUGUCUUUCACUCUCCUGGAAAUAAGUGGCACUUCAUCAACCAUACUCUACUUCUAUGCCUCAGAUUUCACUCUCUCCUCUCGGACUUUCACCUUUCUUCAUCCUGACAAAUUGCUUCUCAGCAAAUACCUGUAACAUCUAUAAACCUAGCGUUCCAGAUUGUUUUCCACUUAUCUUUUGUGGUAUUGUUAAUGUUUUCCAUCCUAACAUCACACCCUGCUGUUUUUCUCACUAUUUAACUGCUUGACCUGUCUGCUCAGUGCACAAGAGUUUCUCUUGUUCUCCCUGUCCUCUUUCUCCUGCAUAACCUAAGCCUCCAAUUGUGUGGGUUCAUAUACUAACGGUAUACAAAUCUUGGCAUUUACUUCUGAUGUAUCUCCAUAUUUCCUAACCAUUUGUUUCAGCCAGCCUCUGUUCUGAAUAUUUCACACUUAUUUUCAAUGUUGUGUAUCCAAAACUGUUUUUCUGAUCAUCUUUCCUGAGAUUUUUCCAUAGCUGCUACUCCUCCUUUCUCCCAUCAACCUGUAAUCAUCCACAACAAGACUGUCUCCUGUGGUCUGGGGAGUCAUCUUCAUUCCACUUUUGAACAGAUUUUCUCACAAAAGCUAAAACUUUAAGUAAGAAUUGUACUAUUGUAGUUCAGGAUUUCUGACUGGAGGUAUUCAGGUGGUUAGACAUUAUGGGCUCCUCUAUAUGAGUUGGAGAGAAUCUUGCCUUCUCUUUCUAGCACUUGUUUAUGACUAACCAAAAGGAGGAAGGGCUCAGUGUCAUGACUUUAGUUCAGUCUCGUAUAAUCUCACAGUUCCUGUUCUGUUCCUACUGUAUUGUAGUUCUUUUUUUCUCACUAAGUAGCCAAGGUUGUUCGUCUGCUCUCUGGCUGAAAUGUGAACAUUGCCCUAAAGCUGCUCUAUGAAUAUCUUCCCUUACAACGUUUUAAGUGCAGUAAUCCAAAGCCUCAUGUCAGACUAUCCACUUCACCACUCACAAUGGAAAUGUGACCUAGAGCCAAAAUUCACAGUAUCUAUUAAUGUAUUAAGUGAACGUGUUAAUGGAAACAUUGCCUUGAUUACAGACUGCUGGCCACAAUUUACGUAUAGAUACAAACCACGUUUUCCUUGGUGCAGUACUCUAAAAGAUUCACCUAUACAACUUCAUGAUGAGUGACGUGUAUUAGGAUGAUGUAAAGAUAGGUAGCAUCAGAUAUAGUUGCCUUAAACCAGUUUUGGAUCACCUAAGAAAGGUAGCAGUCACAAUCAAGUAAUAACGGAAACACUUACCCCUUUCCAAAGAUCAGGGCUCAUCCAACACUCCAAAGGAGGCAAUCUCCCAUUAGAGAUGCUUCCCUUCUGGCUGCCAGCCCUUAAAUGAGAUUAGGGAGGGAUGGAGCCAGGAUCUACCUCUUCUGGUGGAAUUGCUUCCACCUGUGCUGCCAGGGCUGGCUGUGUCCUGCCACCAGGUGGUGAAUCAGUGCUUCAGGCUGCAACCUAACAGUUCCCAUACAGAUGAUUAUCAGAUUGCAAAAAUAAGUUAAAAUUAUUUUCCUAGGUUUUCCAUGCAUCUUCAUGGAAACUUAAGUUUUAAUGCUUUACUUUCAUAUGUGCAAAGAAAUACUAUGCAUUUCCUCAAAUUCUCAGGACAUAAAAUACUUCUGUUGCUUUUAAUUAAAUACUAACACUGCUGCCAGUUCCUUGUGAUUUAAUAUGUCUAAUACCAUUAAUGUGUGAUUAACCUAGGUCAAAGUAUGCCUGAAAGAGAAAGUGGUAAUCUUAAAAGCAAAGAUUUUUUUUUAAAAUAAACUAAUGAACACAAGUCAUGCAUACAAAUAAUAACUGAGUAUCUUAACCCUCCUGUCUUAUAAUAAUAAUAAUAAUAAUAAUUUUAAAAAAAUUAAGAGCCUUACACAUAUAUUGACUUUUCUGACAUAGAUAACAUGGAGUUAGUGGUAAAGAACGGGAAUUGUGCAAAAAAUGUAGUUCUCAUAAUGAGGUUUAUAGUUUGGGUUUAAUAUUGAGCACUGUGAAAGUUUAAGUUCACAGAGGCUAAAAUUAUAUUGUAAAAGACAAUCACCUAAUGAAAUUUGAUGAGUACCAGAACCACAGGUGGCUUGCAAUGAAUUCUCACACAUGCAGCUCAAGUUAUUUGUAGAGUAACUCCUGUUGUUAGAUCUAACCUCUCUAAAAUGAAAUCAGGGAAUCUGAAAAACUUUUCUACUAAAAAAAUAGUCUCAAUUUCAUCUUUUUUUCCUAAUCUGGCAUUAGGACGGAGAGCAUCAUGUAUAUAAAAUUAAAUUAGUUAUUUUAAGUGUUAUAGACAACUCUGUUAUACCUUGCAACUAAAUUUCUCUAAUAAAGAUAAUUGACAAAUAGGUACAAGAUUGUCACCUCCCCACUAAAGGAUGGCAUGAGUUGAUUUAUUUCAAAAGUUGCCAUUAGUACAGAUUUCUUGGCACAGAGGACAUAAAGAAGAGUAUGAAUGGCUCUUACUAACAAAGUCCUUGAAAGUAUGGAUGGCUCAUCCAUGUUGUUGGAGAAUUUAGUGGCCCAAAUGAGGUUCUCAUCAGGGAUAGACAUAACUGCAGAGACCUGACGCUUCCUCUGCUUUUUUUAGUAGAAAUUUUCAAACAAAUCAAAAAGCACUCAAGCCUGUCUCUACAUUAGUCUCUGUGUGGUUGAACUUGAGUCAGCUGUAUGCUAAAUAUUACUCAUUUUCCAUUAAUGUAUUGAAGCUAUGCAUCACUGCAUUUUUUUGCCCAGCUGACUAAGGAGCAGUCAUCAAUGUGAAACUUUUCUUUGCUGUAUUGUGUGUCAGCACAAUAAUGUUGGGCUUCCAUUGUUUUAUACCAGAGGGCGAGUAGGCUGUGGAUUGCAGAGACAAACAUAGAGAAAGGGACUCACUUUCUGGCUGGUCUCUGACUGCAACUGCACAGCCAAGCAGCUCUUAUAUGCGCUUGGGAGCUCAGAAUCUCAAAGUUAGUGUUAAUGAGACAGAGCACAAUGGCUCCGAUGACAUCUUUAGUAUGAAGAGAUGGGGUAAUGAGGAAACACGCUGCUGUAUUGCAUUAAUGAUCAUAUCUACCUUCUACAAGAGACAGAUUUUGUUUCCUGAAGCUGUUAACUGAGCAAAAGAAUUGCAAUUCUUGUGUUCAUCUCCAUUUUUCCUCUAAGAAAUGGUGCUUCGUACUGCCAUGACAGACAACUGACUGUCUCUUUUGUCUUGGGUGAGUGUUGCUCUCUCUGAAGUUGGGUUCAUGUUGGACUCCGCAGUCUCUAUGGCACUACACUUGAACAUCUGAAUCAGACACAUCCUGAACUGAAAUUUGAAACAACAUACAAGAAAAAUAAAAACACACGAGGAAUUUAAAAAUAUUUUCUUAAUUUUUUUUAUAUUAACUAAAAGUCUUGGAAAUAGCCCCAUAAAAUAUAUUUAUCUGUGGGACCACAAAGGACUGAGAAUCUAAAAAGACACAAACUGCUGGAAUGCUUCAGUCUAAAAAAUCAUUUUCCUCUAUGCUUGUUGCUAGCUGCAUCUAAUUGAAUGGAAUUGGUCAUUUCCUGGGGCUCAUGAGUUGCAUUUGUAUGCUAAUACCUAGAUAUUCAAAGAUGGUUUGUUUCCAUCACGUUCAUGGCCUUGAGCAGGUUAAGACAAGCAUACAUCUGCCACGCACUGAGAGAUCAGGUUUACUGUCCAUAGGAUGUGGGUCAACCAAUAGUUGUUUGUCACUGCAAGACUAAAUCAAUAAAUGCAUUCAUCACUUCACAUUUAACCUUCACUUUGCUAUUCUACUUCUUUUCCUUUAUUCCCCAAAUACUCUGCUUGAUGCCACCCCCUCCUAUGUUCACAGCACAUGUCUGUCCAAGGUUAUAACAUACUUGCUACCUCUGGCUCAGGCACGAUCACUCUGGUUCAUCCCCUUGUCAGUACUUCUCUGCACCCAUUUCUCUGACCCCAUUCCAGAGAAGACCCCUGUCACACAGGGGCAUGCAAUGCUGCAACUCUCCCUGUACAUACAACCACAGAUGCAGCAUUUCCCCUGACGGGGGAGGUUUCAGAAGCAAUUCACUGGCAUUGCAUUCCAAGAUAACUAUGGAAACAUACAACAGGACAGUCUUGGAAAUAGAAUUUUCUCACAGAAAACUAGAAUAGUUGAUGUUCACUAAGAGUUGAUUUUCUUUUCCAAUACCUAAAUCUAAUGAUUACUAAUAUUCAUAUUUUAAUACUGAAACACAGCACAAAACUCUAUGCAUUAAGUAGACAUACAGUGAUUAAAAAAAUUCUAAACUAUGGAUAUGGAAGACACUUUGAGAACAUACAGUACCUGUUUGUUCAUAAAAACAUAAAUAAUUGGAUUAUAAACAGUAGCUGUUUUGGAAAAGAAAGCUGGAAUUGCUGCCAGGUGAGGAUCCAGUUCAAUGGAAGGGUAUGCAGUGGCUAGGAUAGAAAAGACGGCAUAUGGCAUCCAGCAGAUUAGAAAAGCAAUGAUCAUAACAACCACCAUUCUAGUCACUUGUCUUUCAGGUUUCCUGGCAGUUCUCAACCUGCCUUGUGUAUUUGACACCUUAAAGAAAAGACAGAAAAUUCCAGAAAACAAACAAGGCCUUCAAAGAGUGAAUAUAGUGUAAAUCAGUAACGAUGAGAUAAUAUGUACAAGUUGUCAGGCAUCAGUGAAAGCUGUGUUAGAUGCUGAGCAAAUGUAAGAUAUUCCCAAUCCAAAAAAUAUAUAACACUUCUACAGCACUUCUUCACAAACAUGCUACCUAAGUAGAGGGUAACCCAGCUUCCUUUUCAGCAGAAGUGUUGUCCCCUUUGGAAAGAAGCAGAACAGCUGCUUAUCUGUCAAUAAUACUAAAUGAGAGACCUGAAUAAAGGUGCAUUUGAAUAUGAUGUAUAAAGAUAGUUGAAAGAAUAAUUACCACUAAUUCUGCACUGCAUUGAUCUUCCAGGCAAGAUGGAAAGGAGGAAGGGGGAAGUUUGAUUCUUUCCUGCUUAUUUUAGUCCUCCAUCAGUCUUUAUGCUUUCAUUUGAAAUAGCUUUCUGUUCUCCUACUUCUUUUUCUGUGUUUUAGUAGUGCUACAUAGAUUUCUGCAAUUAGCCAGCUCUAAGUGUUUAGAGGUCACAAGUCUUGCUCAGCAGUCUCACACGUAGCCCACUGUUGGUGUAACACCUGGGCAGGUCACAGUGAGCAGUCCAAUACCUGCCUGCAGCCCUUACAGCACAAGGGAAGGAAGUGCCUGCAGCAUCACAUCUAAGGCCAGAUGAUCCUUACUACUUUUUGUUCAGUCUUUCUUUUCCCCCAGCCUGUUUGUUUUUAAUUGAACUUUGAACAGUUGUUAUCAACAUCACAUUAUUUGAUUUUCUCCGUUUUAAAUUGAAAAAAAGAAAUCCUUAACAAAAACAAAUGUGUAACUCCUGUUUGUUUUUUUCCCCUUUUUUGGGGGUGAAGGUAUCUACAAACACACACAACGUUUCUCACAGGAGGCUGGGAACAUUCAGCCCUCAUUUUAAGCUGUUCUUUGCACAGUUUCCAGGAUCUACUUGGCAUUUUUUAAAACUAAAAAAUAAAAAUGAGUGCAAAAAUAAUUCUUUAACACGACAUAAGUGAGUCUUGUAUAUAUUUGUACAUAUUUGCUGCCUGGAAACAGGUCUGCUUAUGUCUGAUCCUUAAGGAAAUCUGAACAUGAAGAAUCAAAUUAUUGCAUACAUACACAUCUCAAAGAUGUAACUUGAAAGUGCUUCUUACCUUUCUUAGCUUCUGCAGCAGUUUCCCAUACGACACCAGAAUUACCAAUAAAGGCACUAUAAAACAGGUGGUGAAGAAUGCAAUAAUGUAGGAACGAUCAUUAUAAGCUCCUGAAUACCUGUAUAAAACACAGAAUACAUUGUGUAUAUAUUACUAAUCCGCUCUGGUUAUUUUCUCAAAGUGUUCAGAGGCAUCACUAAUAUUUUCAUCAACUGUUUUUAAUCAAAGUACCCAUGUACAGCUUUAGUCAAAUCACCAGAGAGAGCCCAUGGCCAUCUCCCUUCCUCUGGGCUAGCAAAGGUUUACUCUGUAAGAUCAUAGGCACAGAACCAAAGAAUUGUGGGGUACGUUAGGUGGGAAGAAACGUGUAGUCCGACCUCCUGCUCAAAGAGAGGUCAGCUAUGCUGCUAAAACAAAUUGCUCAGGGCUUCAUCCAAUCUUCUGAAAAUCUAUUCGUCAAAAAAAAAAAAAAAAAAAACAAUGCAAAAAAAACAAACAAAAAAACCCAAAUACAAACAGACAAACAAAACCCCCAAUAUAGGGAACAGCUACUUUCAUUAGAGAUGUAAGCUUCUCCUUUUAGGAAAAUGUUUUAGAAAACAUUUAUUUUUAACCCUGGAAAUUUUUCUUUAUUGUUAUAUCUUCGUCUACCUCUUUUUUGGCAAAGACCAUCAUCCUUAACCCUUUCCUUUGGAACUGUGUGCUUAAGAAGUCAUGAGCUACAAGUUUAAACUCUACCAUACUCUGCAAGGAUGACCUUACCAAUUAGGCUCACAAGUAGUUCCAAUCUUACUGGUGGUGUAGCUGCUCCAACCCAUGGUUGGUGGAAUGGUCCAAAUGAAGGAAAAGGUCCACACAAAAGCAAUACCUUGGGCAGCAUGCUUCCCUCUCAAGCGCAUAUUUCCCACUGGGCGGCAGAUCACAAUGUACCGCUCAAAAGCCAAAAGAGCAAGAGACCAGAGAGCCACAAUGCCUACAGUAAAAAACACAGCAUCGAAAUCAAAUUGAUUUACUGAAAAGCAAGCCUCGUCCCACACUGCAGUCACAGAAUCAUUUAGGUUAGAAGGCAUCUCUAGAGGUCAUCUAGUCCAGUCUGACAUGGCUCAAGCAGGAUCUACCAGCAGGGUGCCCAGGACUACAUCCAGUUAGGUUCUUAACUUUUUCAUUUGAACUUUCCAGUUGAACUUCUCUGGGCAACUAGUGGCCACGUUUGCCUACUUACCACAUCAGGAAACUUUUUCAGCAAUACAGGUUUUCAAAAGAUGGGCAAAUCACAUGUGUUGCUUUAAUAUUUUAUUAAGAGCACAAGAUUUUCAUACUUGUCCAGUUUGUUAGUAUAAUGACUACAAAACCAAGCAUCUAAUUGCACCUCUUAGCUCACAUGGCUUUUUCCACUAGGUUUUACUUUGAAAAACUGCACAUUAUGUGUAGCUUCCAAACUAACAAAUGAAGGUAUAUCUUCAAAACAUUAUCUUUGCAAAAAAUGUCAUAUUUCAGACUGUCAUAAGCUCUAACCUACAGACAGCUGCCCACAACAUCAAAAUAUCAGUUUAUUUGGGACAGAUCACCUUGUUGGUCACCAAAAUCUUGAAAUAGUCUGAUCUUACUCCAUAGGACAUGCCUUCCAUGCCACAAACUAACACAGUACCAUCAUCUCCCACAGAUAACUUCCCUGGGCAGAUUUAUCAGCCUGAGAGCAAAAGCGGGAUUCCUCUUCAGCUGAGGAUCAGCAAUGUGUUUGACUCAGAGAAGUGACAGAGUUAGAAGAAUGGCUUUCCUAUGCAGUUUCUGAAACAGCACCCAAAUGUUAGCUGGCAGCAAAACAAAAGCCCCGCGGGAGGUAAGAAUGAACUUCUAUGUCGAUGUAAUUAGAUGUUCCAUUUUAAACUGAUUUUCUAUUUACCCUGUAGAGGUGUAUUUACAAAGUGACCUACCUGGUGAUGAUUGAUUUUCCCUUUUAGAGUACUUCAAUAUGUUUUGCAUACUUGCAAAACAAAGCCAAGAGAAAGAAUCACAGGAAGAAGCAAAUGAGAGGGGUGGCAACCACAGGCAUGGCAUGGCUCCUCAGAACAGUUGCAGGACAGCUGACAUAAGAUGUUUCAGUGACAUAACAUUAUCCAUAGUUUAAGAACAGCCAUUUGUUCUCUCUCUCUCUCUCUCUCUCUCUCUCUCACUUAACCACAUAUUCAUACACCAAGAGACAAACCUGGAAAAUAAUUACACAGUGAAGUGGUUUG